rnacentral:tRNA from 1 species
ACCCCUGUGGUGAAAUUGGUAGACACGUAGGACUUAAAAUUCUAUGAGCGAUGCUCAUGCAGGUUCGAUGCCUGUCGGGGGUA